rnacentral:lncRNA from 1 species
UCAUGGCAGGACAAGUGUUUAGAAAGUUACUUCCACUCUUUGACUAAGUAUUGGUUGAAAGGUGUGCCGCCAAAACUGUAACCAAAGGAGCCAUUAUGCUUCUGGAAAAAUCUCAAGGAAAAGUAUUGGCAGCCACAGUAGUAGCUGUUGGAUCAGGCUCUAAAGGAAAGGGUGGAGAGAUUCAACCAGUUCGUGUGAACGUUAGAGAUAAUGUUCUUCUUCCAGAAUAUGGAGGCACCAAAGUAGAUGACAAGGAUUAGUUCUCAUUUAGAGAUGGUGACAUUCUUGGGAAGUAUGUAGA